GACGAACGCUGGCGGCGUGCUUAACACAUGCAAGUGGAGCGACGAACCAGGGCUUGCCCUGGGGCAGAGCCGCGAACGGGUGAGUAACACGUGGGUUACCUACCCCGAUGACCGGGACAACCCGAGGAAACUCGGGCUAAUACCGGAUGUGGUCUUCGGACGAAAGGAAGCUUCGGCCUCCGCAUCGGGAUGGGCCCGCGGCGCAUUAGCUUGUUGGUGGGGUAACGGCCUACCAAGGCGACGAUGCGUAGCUGGUCUGAGAGGACGAUCAGCCACACUGGGACUGAGACACGGCCCAGACUCCUACGGGAGGCAGCAGUGGGGAAUCUUGCGCAAUGCGCGAAAGCGUGACGCAGCAACGCCGCGUGGGGAAGAAGGCC
rnacentral:rRNA from 1 species